AUGGGCUAUUUCCCCAUGCCCGCACACACACUCGAGGGCUGGACGCGAGUACAUGAGCUAAUCAAUUCUAGGUCCGUUGUGUUGUCUUGGGGUGUGAUCAGAGUUUUGGGGGAUCAACAGAGUUUAGUAACGGAUAGCAGAGUUUUGCAAUGUCCGCACUUUCAGAAAGGGAGGGCGUGGUCCUGUUUCACCUCCACGAGGCUCCGCCAGUGCCAGUAUGUGACUCAGCAGUCUCUACAAUCGAAGGAGAUACUCUCAGAUAUAGGCAGUGCCAUCCGCACAAAGAAACAUACGCAUGAUCUAGGAAUAUCAAAUAAAUAA
rnacentral:rRNA from 1 species